UGGGGAAUAUUGCACAAUGGGCGAAAGCCUGAUGCAGCAACGCCGCGUGAGUGAUGAAGGCCUUCGGGUUGUAAAGCUCCGUCUUUUGGGACGAUAAUGACGGUACCAAAGGAGGAAGCCACGGCUAACUACGUGCCAGCAGCCGCGGUAAUACGUAGGUGGCAAGCGUUGUCCGGAUUUACUGGGCGUAAAGGAUGCGUAGGCGGAUUUUUAAGUGAGAUGUGAAAACCCUAAGCUUAACUUGGGGACUGCAUUUCAUACUGGAAAUCUAGAGUGCGGGAGAGGAGAAUGGAAUUCCUAGUGUAGCGGUGAAAUGCGUAGAGAUUAGGAAGAACACCAGUGGCGAAGGCGAUUCUCUGGACCGUAACUGACGCUGAGGCAUGAAAGCGUGGGUAGCAAACAGGAUUAGAUACCCUGGUAGUCCACGCCGUAAACGAUGAGUACUAGGUGUAGGAGGUAUCGACCCCUUCUGUGCCGCAGUUAACACAAUAAGUACUCCGCCUGGGAAGUACGAUCGCAAGAUUAAAACUCAAAUGAAUUGACGGGGUCAUAGCUGUUUUCCU
rnacentral:rRNA from 1 species